UAGUACGGCGAGUGAGAGGGAAGAGCCCAAGAUUGAAAGCUGGCGUCUUCGGCGUCCGCAUUGUAAUCUCAAGAAGUGUUUUCCGCUUCGGACCAUGCCUAAGUCCCUUGGAAAAGGGCAUCAUAGAGGGUGAUAAUCCCGUACAUGGCAUGGAGCGCCCGAAGCUUUGUGAUACGCUUUCUACGAGUCGAGUUGUUUGGGAAUGCAGCUCAAAAUGGGUGGUAAAUGCCAUCUAAGGCUAAAUAUUGGGGAGAGACCGAUAGCGAACAAGUACAGUGAUGGAAAGAUGAAAAGAACUUUGAAAAGAGAGUUAAACAGUACGUGAAAUUGCCAAAAGGGAAGGGUAGGAGGUCAGAGAUGCGUCUUGGGAUUCAGCUUUGCUUUUGCAUGGUGUUUUUCCCAAGUUGCAGGCCAACGUCGGUUUUGGGCACUGGAGAAGGGUAGGAGGAACGUGGCACCUCUCGGGGUGUGUUAUAGCCUCCUACUGGAUACAGCGACCGAGACCGAGGAACGCAGCGUACUCGUAAGAGCGGGCCUUUUGGCACCUUUACGCUUAGGGCGUUGGCAUAAUGGCCCUCUACCACCCGUCUUGAAACACGGACCACUGC
rnacentral:rRNA from 1 species